GAUGAACGCUGGCGGCGUGCCUAAUACAUGCAAGUCGAGCGAAUGGAUUGAGAGCUUGCUCUUAUGAAGUUAGCGGCGGACGGGUGAGUAACACGUGGGUAACCUGCCCAUAAGACUGGGAUAACUCCGGGAAACCGGGGCUAAUACCGGAUAACAUUUUGAACCGCAUGGUUCGAAAUUGAAAGGCGGCUUCGGCUGUCACUUAUGGAUGGACCCGCGUCGCAUUAGCUAGUUGGUGAGGUAACGGCUCACCAAGGCAACGAUGCGUAGCCGACCUGGGAGGGUGAUCGGCCACAAUGGGACUGAGACACGGCCCGGACUCCUACGGGAGGCAGCAGUAGGGAAUCUUCCGCAAUGGACGAAAGUCUGACGGAGCAACGCCGCGUGAGUGAUGAAGGCUUUCGGGUCGUAAAACUCUGUUGUUAGGGAAGAACAAGUGCUAGUUGAAUAAGCUGGCACCUUGACGGUACCUAACCAGAAAGCCACGGCUAACUACGUGCCAGCCGCCGCAGUAA
rnacentral:rRNA from 1 species